UUGCUUUGGUAGCACAUGUACUAAACUUGUAAUGAUAAAGAGAAAAUUAGCAUGGCCCCUGGUACAAGGAUGACAUGCACAUUUGUGAAGCAUUUUACAUUUGU